UACGGAGGGGGCUAGCGUUGUUCGGAAUUACUGGGCGUAAAGCGCACGUAGGCGGCUUUGUAAGUUAGAGGUGAAAGCCCGGGGCUCAACUCCGGAAAUUGGCCUUUAAGACUGCAUUCGCUAGAAUUGUGGAGAGGUAAGUGGAAUUCCGAGUGUAGAGGUGAAAUUCGUAGAUAUUCGGAAAGAACACCAGUGGCGAAG
rnacentral:rRNA from 1 species